rnacentral:rRNA from 1 species
GACGAACGCUGGCGGCGUGCUUAACACAUGCAAGUCGAACGAAGCACUUGAAACGGAUUCCUCGGAUGAAGUUUCCUGUGACUGAGUGGCGGACGGGUGAGUAACGCGUGGGUAACCUGCCUCAUACAGGGGGAUAACAGUUAGAAAUGGCUGCUAAUACCGCAUAAGCGCUCGGCAUCGCAUGAUGCAGUGUGAAAAACUCCGGUGGGAUGAGAUGGACCCGCGUUGGAUUAGCUAGUUGGCAGGGUAACGGCCUACCAAGGCGACGAUCCAUAGCCGGCCUGAGAGGGUGGACGGCCACAUUGGGACUGAGACACGGCCCAGACUCCUACGGGAGGCAGCAGUGGGGAAUAUUGCACAAUGGGGGAAACCCUGAUGCAGCGACGCCGCGUGAGCGAAGAAGUAUUUCGGUAUGUAAAGCUCUAUCAGCAGGGAAGAAAAUGACGGUACCUGACUAAGAAGCCCCGGCUAACUACGUGCCAGCAGCCGCAGUAA